rnacentral:misc_RNA from 1 species
CGAGCGUCAUUACACCAGUCCAGCCUCGCUGGGUCUUGGGCGCCGCGGUCCGCCGCACGCCCCAAUGUCUCCGGCUGAGCCGUCCGUCUCGAAGCGUUGUGGCAACUCAAUCCGCUUACGGGAACCGGGGGGCUUGACGCCGUCCAAACACAGCACACUAGGUUGACCUCGGAUCAGGUAGGGAUACCCGCUGAACUUAA